UCCACCCCAUCGCUCUCUCUCUCACUCUCUCUCAUUCUCCAUCCCAUCCAGAUCCCGCCGCCCCAACCCUCUCACCCUUCCCAUCCACAGGGAGCCCCGCCUUUUCCCGGCGAGUCGCACCGCCCCAACCCUCUCCCACCCUCAUCUCGUAGCUCCCCUUCCCUUCAUCAUGCUCGGGCUCCCUCCCUCUUCUGCGGCCUGGACCCAUGUGCUUGGCGGAGCCGUGGCGGGGGAGCUUUACCGGCUACGUCGUCGUGGGUUCACCGGAGUGAAACGCCGGACUUUUUCGGGAGAAGACGCUGUUGCGACGCCUCUCUGCCAUCACCGGUGCUGCCAUUUUCAUCGGGCGUCGUGUGCGACCCACAACAUUGGGGACACACCAGUUUCGUCGGUCGAUUCACACCCAACUCCAUCCCCGCUUCUUCCCUCGAGCCAGCGAUAGCUGUUCUAUUCCAUCCCCGUUUAAUUUUGAGUACUGGAGUCCAAGGCGAGCGCAACUAUGGCAGGGAAUGAGUUUGAGUAGGUGCGUGGGAUGAAUCCAUCAAUUAUUGUAUUUGGCCUGCUCUCCCAAGCUGCUGCCUCGAGGUCGCCAUACUUCGCAAAAAUCAUGACGGUGCUGCGUUGUGCUCACCAUGCCCAGAAAUUGGGGGUCACGAGGAGGAAGACAAUGGCACGCACGAGGAAAUUAGAGACGGCGGUGGCACCAAACAUUACUUGAGCCUGAUCGUUUUUUUUUUGCUAGCUUAGCGUUUUGCUUUCAUAGGUUUGGAGCUCUAAAUUUAAGCUUUUCGUCUGAAUCUUCAUUUGAUCCACAGGCUUCUGAUCGUUCUGAACAAAUGCUUCAACUCUUUGUUGUUUCAUUUGAUUUUUGGAAGUUCAUUAGAUUUUGGUAAGUUGUUUGAUUUCCCUUAAUCGAUUUCUGAAUCUCCUCCCUUCUUUAGUGGAGCUCCCUGCAAGUGUUGUUUUAAUUCAUGGUUAAAUUCUAUUUUGGUGUUGGCUGUUGAGAAUAUCAGAUGAGACAAGCAAUGGAAUGGACUGUGUGGACAAUCACAGGAAUGGUGUUCCGUGGAUAGGUCAUGUGUUGGAGAGGGAACGACACGUUGCAGCAGCGAGAGGUCUUGCCUCUUUUCUGCUGUUCUUGCUUCUCCCCUAUGAUUUUUUAGUUGGUUGUCUUGGAGAGGAAACGACAAGCUGCAGCAGCCAGAGUAGUAGGAGAAGCAGCUUCAACUCCCACGGCAUGUUCUACAUUUUUCUGCACUGAUGUAUUUGUUAUGGUCCAACUGAAUUAGUUUUGACUGCAUCUUAUUCUCUGUAGUCUCUGAGAUUUGUUCUCUAGUUCAAACUGUGCGUCAACUGUUCAAAUGAAUGUCUUAAUUAAAAGAACACUGUUUGAUGGAAUGCCAGAAAAGAAUGCACGUCUUUUUCCUGGCUAAAAAUUCGUUCAGAGUGUUCUGUUUUUUCUAUCUGGUAAAUUUCAUUGGCCUCAGAGUUGAUUCCCUCUUUUAAUUCAUUUGGUGUGGUUUUCUAAAUGAAGAAGCAGAACCAUUUUGGUUGUUAUUCACUACUGCUCCUCAUGGUCCAUUCCCUUGGAUUUGGAAAGCGGAUUUGAUGUUGGAUUUGUUGAAAUAGCCACUGGCGAGGCAGUGCUUGAUUUCGUGAACAUCAACACUUUUUUUCAUACUGAGAACUUGGCAACAUCAGCAUGAGUUCUUCCCUUAACUUCUCUUUCUUUCCAAUGGACUUCUUAUUGCGGCUAUUAUGGACAAUGAGAGGGCUUCUGCGAUUUUCUGUUCGUGAGUUUGGAGAUCAGUUCCCCACGACCCGCACCAUGGAUCGGUAAUGGAUUUUUUUUGUUGCAGGUCUAUUUUUCUGAACCUCUCUUUUUAUCUCAGAACUUUUUAAUUUGUUUGUGAGCUUGAGGAGGCUCAGCAAUUAGUAUCAGCACCUCACCACUUCCGCGCGUCCGCUGCAGUCAAGGUGUUUGACCUCCACCUCCCCCGCCUGAUACAGGGCUCGAUGCUGCUAUAAAAUCCCGUGCGAAAUUUUCGAUUCAUGGAGCUAGCUACAACCGAACCAGGUUUGGUAAAAAAAAUGUUGUGCGAUUAUCUCUUCUCUAGUAGAUCUUGGAUCAUCUCUAAUUUUGGUGAUUCCUGCUCCAUUUUCUUGCUGAUGGCAUGUCAUAACACAAUAUAGGUGAUGAAAAGCACCUGAUGAUCCCACUCCGGCGCCUGGUAACUAGGCUCACUAGGAUAGCCCCCAUGGAGACGUCUUGGCAGUUGCGGCCAGCAUUUGUUUGUGUUGAUGCCUGAAUGAAAACAACAUGGUGUAGUGUUGCAUAUGAUCAUUUAGUUUUGCUUUCCUUUUUCCAAUCUUGUGUGAAUUGUAUAGCUGUUUCUCAAGAACUCGUAACUUCUGUUGUUGGGAAUUUUAGGGAGAUGUAAAUCUGAAUAAAUAGGAGUAUUAAGUGAAACACAUGUUGAAUUUGACCUCUUUUGUCAUAUAGUUUGCUUCCUUUUUUCCAAUCUUACAUGAAUUUUGUUGUCUAACAGAUGGGCUCUGAGUUUGGACUUGGGCAUGGCCGCCGUGCAGUCCGCCACCGCUGUCUCCCCCUCUGCGUCAGCAUCCCGUCUCCUGCAGGACCAUGGCCUCCGCAGCGCCGGCGUCAUCGAGCACAGCAAUGCCGACGCCACUGGGGCGUGUAGUAUACUGGAGGCUCUGUGUCAUACGAGUAGAUCAUCCAAGAUGGUUCCCACUUGCACAUCAAUGCUCACAAGUACUUGCAGUACUAGUUUGUUUUAGGCUGCUGCUGUAAUCAACUAUGUGCUUCCUAGUCAUUUUCUGCAUCGUAUUGAACAUUAUUUAGUUUAAUGUAUGGCAUGAAACUAUUUUCACCAGCCUUGUUGCCUUCCACAUUGCAGUUAUCUUUAACCCUGGUUGAA